CACGUAGGCGGAUUGGUCAGUUAGGGGUGAAAUCCUGGAGCUCAACUCCAGAACUGCCUUUAAUACUGCCAGUCUCGAGUCCGGAAGAGGUAAGUGGAACUCCUAGUGUAGAGGUGGAAUUCGUAGAUAUUAGGAAGAACACCAGUGGCGAAGGCGGCUUACUGGUCCGGUACUGACGCUGAGGUGCGAAAGCGUGGGGAGCAAACA
rnacentral:rRNA from 1 species